GCCGCGGCUGCGGCUGCGCGGCUGCCCGGAAGGAGAAGGGGGAAGGGGGACGGCGAAAGAGGAAAGGGAAAGGGAAGGCGGGCUGCAGAGUCCGCUGCUUCCUCUGCCGGUAGGCCCGGGACUGCCCCGUGGGGAGUGCGGCCGCGGGUCGCCGUGACCGGCCGGCGUGUUGCAAGGAAUAUGCAAAGUUUUCUUAAGAAAGGCUGUUACUCGGUGUGACCAUCUCCGGAGAGAAUGUGAUACCGGCUGCGGAUAGCCGACAGCGGGACAACUGGACGGGCGGUCAGCAGGGACAUUCCUCAGGGAAUGAGGGCUGUGUCGUGCAGAUAUUUACUAGCUCUGGCGUGUGGAAGGCCUUCCCAGAUGAACUGCUAUGUACCAGAGGUAGCAGGCGGCGGAUUAAGCUCAGCCACGAAAUUCAUCAGUCUCUCUCCUUCCAAUUGCACCCCAUUUCCCACGACACUUCCGGCACAUCAGGAUCAGCAGGACUCCCCCUGACACCUACACAACCAGCCCCAUCUCUCACAGGCUACAUGAGCCCUUCCCUCCUGCCAGGCCAAAUCAUAGCUCUCUCCUGUUCCCCCGCUAUUCGGUCUGCUUGCAGGGAGGGAAUUGCUUGCUGCAGGCAGCUAAUUCUGCCCCUGAGCAGCUUGGCACCUUGGAGCCUCUUCUCAGCCAGGGACAACCCUAUGCUCUCAACAACACAGUCUAAGCCAGCUGACAUGGAGCUUUUAGAUGCUUCUGAGAAUCCUUACUGUGACCCAAAUGCACUACAAAGCUGAACUGAUCUUUUUUUUCGGAAUUCUAGAACUACAGAGGUCUGGUUAAACCUUCCGGGGGGUGUGAGUUAAACUUGUUGCUGCUCAGCAAGAAAUGAGUGUGCCCUGCGGAGGCUCCUCAGGGCACCACUCUGUCCUAUCUGCAAAAAUCAAGGUGUUACAGAUAGUUUUGGAUUGGCAACACAAGGGACAGUUGUUCACAGCUUGAUGGGCCCAUGGUGCCUCACGCCAUCAGGGCAGAGAUGCCAACUCCAGGUGGGCACGAGAGCCAGGGCUGGAUGUAACCAUGGGCAGCAUCUCCCAGGUUAUCCAUGACUGUGAGACGGGAGCUGCCAUCAAGCAAGCUGAGCGGGUGAAGCCCCUGUGGUAUGGGGGCCACGGUUCCAACAGAAGUAUGGCCAGGCCUAGCAGAUUGACUACAUCAGGCUGCCUCAAACCCGCCAAGGCAAGUGCUACAUGCUCCCAAUGGCAGAAGCCAGCACUGGAUGGUUGGAGACCUACCCUGUGUCUCAUGGCAAUGCCCAGAACACCAUGCUGGGCCUUGAAAAGCAGCUCCUUUGGAGGCAUGGCACCUGUGAGAGAACUGAGUCCAACAAAGGGACUCAUCUCAAGGACAGCCUUAUCAACACCUGGGCUGGAGAACCUGGCAUUCAGUGGCUGUAUCACAUUCCCGACCCUGCACCAGCGGCCAGGAACGGUCAGCAGUGCAAUGAACUCUUCAAAAACACAUUGAAGGCAAUGGGGGGAUGGGACCCUCAAGCAGUGGGAGCUGCAUUUAGCAAAGGCUACAUGGUUAGUUAAUAGCAGAGAUUCCACCAACCAAUCUGGCCCUGCCCAAUGCACAGCAGGUGGAGACAAAGUUCUGGUGGUGCACAUGAGAGGGGUGCUGGGAAAGACUGUUGGGAUUAAUUCUGCCUCGAGCAAAGACAAAUGCACGUGUGGGGUUGUCUUUGCUCAGGGACUGGAUUGGACUUGGUGGGUGAUGCAGAAAGAUGGAUAAACACAAUGGGUAUCUCCAGGGGACCUUGUUUUUGGGGUGAAUUGCACAAAACACUGUGAAGUUAUCCAUAUCUGCAUGUAUGUAUCUAUCUGUGUAUAUAAUUAGGAUAAUAUAUGGAUGUAUAUAAUUUAAAAGUCAAAGUUUGAUGUAACAUGUUGGAAUGGGAAAAUUCAGGGUGAAAAAUGUUGUGUGUUUGGGGUGA